rnacentral:rRNA from 1 species
GAUGAACGCUAGCGACAGGCUUAACACAUGCAAGUCGAGGGGCAGCAUGAACUUAGCUUGCUAAGUUUGAUGGCGACCGGCGCACGGGUGAGUAACGCGUGAGGAACCUGCCUCGGAGUGGGGAAUAACAGCUGGAAACAGCUGCUAAUACCGCAUAAUGCAACGGAAUCGCAUGACUCUGUUGCCAAAGAUUUAUCGCUCUGAGAUGGCCUCGCGUCUGAUUAGCUAGUUGGCGGGGUAACGGCCCACCAAGGCGACGAUCAGUAGCCGGACUGAGAGGUUGGCCGGCCACAUUGGGACUGAGACACGGCCCAG